ensembl:lncRNA
AAUCACGUCACCUUAAAUCAAGCCUGUUAAACUGGAACAGCCAUCUCUAAACAGAAGGGAGGCUCUGUUACACCACUGAUCAGAUCCAGCCUCGGCAUCGCUGUGCCUCCACCCUCGGUCCCCACCUUGCAAACCGCCACCGACCCCACCAACGGCAGCCUUCCUCCACCUCCUCCUCCUGUUGCAGAUUUGGACCCCAGCAUGCCCGCCCCUCCUCCCCCACCCCCUCCUGCGGACACUGGUCUCCCCCCUCCACCCUUCAUGUCCUCACCCACCACUUUUCCCUCACCUCCUCCUCCACCGACUCUCAGUCCAUCCAGCAGCAUGUACCCGCCUCCACCUCCUUCCCUAGACGGGGGUGUCCCUCUUCCUCCUCCACCCGCACCGGUGUCAGGAGCUGGUCCUCCUCCACCACCUCCUCCUCCUCCACCUCCACCCAACACUGGCACCGCUGGUGUUGUGCCACCACCUCCGCCACCACCUCCUCCACCUCCAUCUUUCUAAAAAGAAUGUUACAGUCGGUGUUACUGGGUGAUUUUGUCCUCGUUAUAGUACCUCAGAUUUCUUUUCUAACUCAGAGUUACUCAGGCUGUGAUCAGGUUUGCUGUGAGACAGAUGUAUAAAACACGUUCUGCAUGAGGCAUAUUUUGCAGGUCAGAUGUAAGAUCAGCAUUAAGCAUUAAUAAAAGCUGGAAGAAGUGUGUGUAACCUUAACAGUUUGAGCCUGAAAUGAUUUUUUUUUCUGGGACUGAAAAUCCAUCAAAGUGAAAUCUGUAGGUGCAGAGAGCUGCUGUUGAGAUUCUUCCAACAUGUUCCAACAGCACCUGGACUGCAUUCCUAAAAACAAGCUCAAACAGGGAUUCAUGAGCAUCCCCGUCAUUUUUCUGCUUUCCUGUAAUGCAAUUUAUCUUCCUUAAUACGUCUUUGUGUUAUUACAGUGUUUCUUAAGCAGUGAGUUUCGCCUUAAAGUGAACUUUAGCCCAAAGAUCCAAGAGUUAGGAUUCGGUUUAAGUGUCAUUAAAAAAGCAAAAGAGUCCCCCUGUCCUUCGUCAUGCAUAUCACAUUCCAUUUCAUGGUAUUUCCUAUUAGGAUGCUUUCUCUGGCU